AAGGGAUACCUAAUGACGCAAUGACGUCAAUGCAGGUCAAUAGCACACGGGUGAAAUGGACUGGCGGGCUGAGAAUAGCCGUGUGCCUGUGGCUGCGCCCGAACUCCUCUAGCUGUCUCCCAAUGCCCGGGAACGAGUCUCUGCGUUAAAGCUGUUCGUUUGCCCACGGUAUAGCCUGAUCAUUGCAGUCCCUGGAUGCUGCUAUAUGGUGAGAGCCUGGGACGAAGAACAAGUAGGAGGAGGAGGAGGCACGAUGACUUGACGAAGAAGGGCUCUGGCGUUCGUUCCCUACGCCAUGUUACAUCCUGGCCAGAAACGUGGACUCUCUUGGGAUUUCAUCGUCUCCUUUGAGAAAGGUAGCCAGCCUAUAGGCCUAUCACCCCUGGACCACUAAAAUCUCCACCUCUCUGUCUGUUCUCGUGUUCAGCGCAAGGUAACAGCUAACCCGAGAGUGUUAACAGAGGCUAUGACAGAGGCCACUAGAACGAUGACAUCAGAAAAUCACUUCCCUUUAAAAUAGCAUUUUUGUCGGGGCAUUAUCACGUGAA
rnacentral:lncRNA from 8 species